UCUUUCUCAGUGUCGUGGAACCCUAAUUCUCUCUCAGAGUCCAGUCCACUGAUGGCUUCGCAAAUGGCGAUCUUCUUCCAGUCCACUGAUGGCUUCGCAAAUGGCGAUCUUCUUCCGCACGCGUUCUAUUCUCUUCUCCAAACUCUCUUCCCUCGUCAAAACCAUAUCCACUUUCCCGUCCUCUCGCAGGAGCCUCAACUGGCGGAUCCCGCUCCUCUCCCUCCCAACCUCGCCUCCGACAGCCCUUUCUACCACCAAAACUGGCGCAUCUCUUCCUCUCUUUAUUUCUUUCUCCUUUGAAACCCUCUCUUCCUGAGAGAUUGGUUUUUCACAGCGACGAGAACACUGGCAAGUACUGGUUUGGGUGGUCAGCUUUCUGGAGAUAUUGGAUCACUGUCUGAAUUGGAGAUUUUAUAACAGAAUCGGGCACAUUCCUGUGAUUGAUGAGAAGGGGAUGAUUGGAAUGGUGUCCAUUGGAGAUGUGGUUCAUGUUGUGGUGCGCGAGCACCGUCAAGAGUUUGAGCAUUUGAAUGCUUUCAUACAAGGGGGUUAUUAGAUGUUGAUGAUGGUGAAAAUCUCUAAAGAGCACUGAAGCUAAUUUGGAUUAAGUAAUAAGCCUGAGUGUUUGUAAAUAUGUUUGUGAUUUCAGUUCUAUCAACAUUAACCCCAAUGGUGUAGCAGCAUGUUAAUAAUAACAACUGGAUGCAUUUUGAAUC